rnacentral:lncRNA from 1 species
GGGCUCACAGUUCCAGUGGUUUCAGUCCCUGACUCUGACUGCUUUGCUUUGUGGUUGCUGUGAGGCAGUACAUUAUGCCAGGGAGCACCAGGAAGCAAGUUGCUACACCAUGUGGCCCCUAGAAAGAGACUGGCCUUCCAUAAGCACCUUGAAGGUCAUGUCUUUGUGACCCAAGACCUCCCAGUAGGCCCUACCUCAUAAAGGUUCCAUCACUUUCCAAUUACACUGAGGGCCAAGUUACUAACUCAGGGUCUUUGGGGGACAAUCCAGGUCUAAUAUACACAGAUGUAAUGCAUGCAAGCUGCACAGCCAUUACCAGCAGGGGGUCACACACCAGCACCCACCACACACCCGUGCUAAUAGGACCGGAGGAUCUGUGUGGCACUCCGCAGUGUGGUAAGGCAGUGAAGAGUCCAAAGUUCUGAGGGGUUUGGUUUUGGUUUUGGUUUUAUGUUUGCUUGUUUGGUUGGUUUUUGGUUUUGUCUUCUUCUUCUUCUUUUUUUUUUUUCAAGACAGGGUUUCUCUGUAUAACAGCCAUGGCUGUCCUAGAACUCCCUCUGUAGACCAGGCUAGCUUUGAUCUCACAGUCUGCUUCUGCCUCCAGAGCGCCAUCAUGCCUGGCUCUGAGUGGUACCUCUUAAAAAUGUGAACUGUGUUGCCUUGUAAGGUAUAAGAGGGUUGUGUCCCACAGCUGGUUGAGGGAAGCCUAGCAAAUUAAUUGUUGGCCCCAGUUGGUACAGGCUGUCCUGGUGUACCCACUCAUCCCUUCUUUUCUAACAUGUCAACACUGUCACGUUGUGGGUGGGUUUUUGCCCUUGCUUUUCACUUAAAAGGCUCUUUGUUCCAUCACCCUCCAAUCAACCAGGAUUCUACCAUGUAUAUACACUAAGAAAGGCAGUGGGGGUGCUACCGGGGAUGGCAGAGCCCUGUGUCUUGUCUCCACUCCUUAGACCUGGUGAGGGAGCCUCUCGAGACUCGGAGCUAACCAACACACCAUCAACAGAAAUGUUCUUUAUCACUAGGGUCUGGAGAGAAGUAAUGGGUGUCAUGGGAGUAAUCCUGAGAGUCCAGGGCUGUGGCUCAAACCAGGAGCUGCAGAGGUGGCCUAGUCUCAGUCCCACAGAUUAGAAGGGAACAGGUCCCCACAGCUCGUCAAGGAAAUGCUUACAGCAGGAUGUGUGGUCGCUUGGAGGCCACUUCAGUGAGCAUUAGUUACUACUGCAUGUCUGUAACUAAAUGCCCAGUAGAAAAGAGGAAAGGAAGAAAUGCUGAUUUUAGCUCAGGGUUUCAGAGGGAUUUCAGAGCAUCGUAGCAAGGAAGUGCUGCAGAGUGUAUGGUCUUGAAAAUGUCUCACGUCUAAAGCACAGGGAGGGGCAGGAACCAGAGUCUGUCACCUGGGCCCCUAAAGUCUUCAAAUAUAGUGGCACCAGCAGGGGACCAACCACACUGUCAAAGCACAAGCCUGCAGGGAACAGUCAAGACUAAACUGUAAUAUUUUCUAGAGUUUUGCAAAAGAUCUAGUAUUGCAUAUUGUUCUUAGGAGAGAAAAAUGUACGUCUCAAAAAUGGGGUGGGGGAAUCUUCCGGCUCCAGGAUGUGCUGAGUAUGUCCUGUCAGGGAAAAAGUGGAAAGGAGUUGGAGGCUGAGAGGGUCUUUAUUUGGAAUUUGUAAUGUUUAUUUAUUUGGAGUGUGUGUGUGUGUGUGUGUGUGUGUGUGUGUGUGUGUGUGUGUGUGUGUUGGUUAGAGGACAGCUUUCAGGAACUGGUUCUUUCCUAUCUGCAUCUGUGAUCUGGGGAUUAAACUCAGUUUGUCAGGCCCAAGUCUUAGCGCCUAUACCCACUGAGUCAUCUUCCUGUCUCAACUAGCAAUUUUGGGGGAGCAAAGGGAAAGAUCUGAGCUGGAAUUGACUGGUGUGCAUUUUGUCGGCGCUUGCGGUCAGCUACGUUAUCCUCUUAUAAUUUCUGCGUAUUUGAAAUGCUUCAUGAGUGUGAUGCACUUGAGCUAUGGAAAGGAGGUUCUAGGCGUCGUCCCAAGCUGGGCUGAUCGCCCCUCAGAGCAGGCGACAGUGACUGAGGGACACAGAGGCUGCAUUAUACUGACUUUUUUCUUUACUAUGACAAAUGCCUGACAUAAAUGCUAAACAAAGGAAAGGAUAUUUUGGCUCAUGGUCUAGAAGGUUCCGGUCCAUAGUCUUUGGUUCCAUUAAUGCUGGGCCUGUGGUGAGGCAGAACACGGCAGUAGGAGCCUGUGGAGGAGGGUGUUCACCUCACAGUGGACAAUCAGGCAGAGAGCAAGGAAAGGACUCUUCACAGCAUUCUCUAAGUAGAAUUCAAAACGGAAUCUCCUGUUGUUCUUGGGAGAGGAAAACGCAUGUUUCAAAAAUGGGGUGUUCUAAAAUAAGCAUCGUCAUCCGGAAAAGCAUGCGCUCAACACAGACACAGGAGCCUGAUGUCCACAGUUCAUGUUCAGACCAUAACAGGCCAGAGUCAGUCUGACAGGUGGGCAGGGCUCAGGCGUGCAAACCUGACCAGAAAUGAAUCUCAUCAGAAGCUCAAUGGAUAAAACCUUGAGAUCACAUGAGUCACAUGGUCUGAUUACAAUUGACAACAGUUUGUUCUGCCAUUGUUGAGGAGAAUGGCGGAAUGCUAGCGCCAGUGUCAAGGGGCUUGUGAUUGCUCUGCUCCACCAAGUCCUCAGGGAACCAGCCUCGAUCUAAAAAGUUUCCACAAUCAAGUGUGUGUUGUAUGCAAUUUAUACCUCAACUAAGCUGUGGAAACAAAGAGGAAGGAUCAUGUCACUGUGAAACCCAAGGAGACAAAUGAAAAAGAGACAGAUCUUCAAAAAGAGUCAGUAACACUGAAAGUGAAAAAUAUCAAUUGAAUGAAAGAUACUCAUUACAAAGGAAGCAAAGCCUUGGGCACAGUGGUGAGUGCCUGCAGUUCUGCACCCAGGAGGAUGUGUGGGAGGAUUGAAAGUUCAAGGCCAGCCUAGGUACAGAGUGAAGGGCUGCCCCCAAAAUUUUACAAACCGAAACGAAAACAAAACAUCAGAAAAGCAAGAGAAGU